UGUGACCUGAGACCCUCAGGUGCUGAUCAACCCCUGCCAGGUGUGACCUCAGACCCUCAGGUGCUGACCAAACCCUGCCAGGUGUGACCUGAGACCCUCAGGUGCUGAUCAAACCCUGCCAGGUGUGAACUGAUAACCUCAGACCCUGACCAUGCCCAGCCAGGUGUGAUUCCAGACCCUGACCAUCCCCAGGUGUGAUUCCAGACCCUGACCAUCCCCAGGUGUGAUUCCAGACCCUGACCAUCCCCAGGUGUGAUUCCAGACCCUGACCAUCCCCAGGUGUGAUUCCAGACCCUGACCAUCCCCAGGUGUGAUUCCAGACCCUGACCAUUCCCAGGUGUGAUUCCAGACCCUGACCAUCCCCAGGUGUGAUUCCAGACCCUGACCAUUCCCAGGUGUGUCCUCAGACCCUGACCAUUCCCAGGUGUGAUUCCAGACCCUGACCAUUCCCAGGUGUGAUUCCAGACCCUGACCAUUCCCAGGUGUGAUUCCAGACCCUGACCAUCCCCAGGUGUGAUUCCAGACCCUGACCAUUCCCAGGUGUGAUUCCAGACCCUGACCAUCCCCAGGUGUGAUUCCAGACCCUGACCAUCCCCAGGUGUGAUUCCAGACCCUGACCAUGCCCAGGUGUGAUUCCAGACCCUGACCAUUCCCAGGUGUGAUUCCAGACCCUGACCAUCCCCAGGUGUGA